GACGAACGCUGGCGGCGUGCCUAAUACAUGCAAGUCGAACGCUGAAGGAGGAGCUUGCUUCUCUGGAUGAGUUGCGAACGGGUGAGUAACGCGUAGGUAACCUGCCUGGUAGCGGGGGAUAACUAUUGGAAACGAUAGCUAAUACCGCAUAAGAGUAGAUGUCGCAUGACAUUUGCUUAAAAGUUGCAAUUGCAUCACUACCAGAUGGACCUGCGUUGUAUUAGCUAGUUGGUGAGGUAACGGCUCACCAAGGCAACGAUACAUAGCCGACCUGAGAGGGUGGUCGGCCACACUGGGACUGGGACACGGCCCAGACUCCUACGGGAGGGAGCAGUAGGGAAUCUUCGGCAAGGGACGGAAGUCUGACCGAGCAACGCCGCGUGAGGGAAGAAGGUUUUCGGAUCGGAAAGGUCUGUUGUAAGAGAAGAACGAGUGUGAGAGUGGAAAGUUCACACUGUGACGGUAUCUUACCAGAAAGGGACGGCUAACUACGUG
rnacentral:rRNA from 1 species